rnacentral:snRNA from 1 species
GGAUGUGAGGGCGAUCUGGCUGCGACAUCUGUCACCCCAUUGAUUGUCUGGGUUGAUUUGGCUGAUCUGGCUGGCUAGGCGGGUGUCCCCUUCCUCCCUCACCACUCCAUGUGCGUCCCUCCCGAAGCUGCGUGCCCGAUCGAAGAGGACGACCACCCCCGAUAGAGGAGGACUGUUUCCUCGGUUAAGGGUAUACAAGUAGCUGCGCUCCCCUGCUAGAACCUCCAAACAAGCUCUCAAAAUAUUUUAUAAAUGUCACUCCAUUUUUUUCUUGUGUCAUAAAUGCUGGUAAGAAAUGUGGCCUUUUUUGGCUA